rnacentral:tRNA from 1 species
GGCAGCGUAGCUCAGUGGUAGAGUAGGGGAAUCAUAAUCCUUUGGUCGCAGGUUCAAAUCCUGCCGCUGCUA